rnacentral:rRNA from 1 species
GACGAACGCUGGCGGCGUGCUUAACACAUGCAAGUCGAACGCUGAAGCUUGGUGCUUGCACUGGGUGGAUGAGUGGCGAACGGGUGAGUAAUACGUGAGUAACCUGCCCUUGACUCUGGGAUAAGCCUGGGAAACUGGGUCUAAUACUGGAUACGACAUGUCACCGCAUGGUGGUGUGUGGAAAGGGUUUUACUGGUUUUGGAUGGGCUCACGGCCUAUCAGCUUGUUGGUGGGGUAAUGGCUCACCAAGGCGACGACGGGUAGCCGGCCUGAGAGGGUGACCGGCCACACUGGGACUGAGACACGACCCAGACUCCUACGGGAGGCAGCAGUGGGGAAUAUUGCACAAUGGGCGGAAGCCUGAUGCAGCGACGCCGCGUGAGGGAUGACGGCCUUCGGGUUGUAAACCUCUUUCAGCACGGAAGAAGCGAAAGUGACGGUACGUGCAGAAGAAGCGCCGGCUAACUACGUG